rnacentral:ncRNA from 1 species
GUGCGAGUACGUAUAAAACUGCCUCAGUUAAACUGAGAAUGACUCAUUAAAUCAGUUAUGGUUCCUUUGAUCGUCACAUCCUACAUGGAUAACUGUGGUAAUUCAUGCGGAAGAAGCGCCGACCUCACGGCCUGGCGUGCAUUUAUCAGACCAAGACCAACCCGGGGUUCGCCCCGGUCCCUUUGGUGACUCUGGAUAACCCAGCCGAUCGCACGAUCUUCGCACCGGCGACAGAUCAUUCGAUGGUAGGUUCUGUGCCAACCAUUGUGGCAACGGGUGACGGGGAAUCAGGGUUCGGAG